GUGAGGAAUAUUGGUCAAUGGACGAGAGUCUGAACCAGCCAAGUAGCGUGAAGGAUGACUGCCCUAUGGGUUGUAAACUUCUUUUAUAAGGGAAUAAAGUGAGGGACGUGUCCCUUUUUGUAUGUACCUUAUGAAUAAGGAUCGGCUAACUCCGUGCCAGCAGCCGCGGUAAUACGGAGGAUCCAAGCGUUAUCCGGAUUUAUUGGGUUUAAAGGGAGCGUAGGUUGACAUAUAAGUCAGCUGUGAAAGUUUACGGCUCAACCGUGAAAUUGCAGUUGAUACUGUAUGUCUUGAGUGUACAAGAGGUGGGCGGAAUUCGUGGUGUAGCGGUGAAAUGCUUAGAUAUCACGAAGAACUCCAAUUGCGAAGGCAGCUCACUGGGGUACAACUGACACUGAGGCUCGAAAGUGUGGGUAUCAAACAGGAUUAGAAACCCUUGUAGUCC
rnacentral:rRNA from 1 species